UGGAUUCACCAGAACCUCUCACGCCACCAAGAUAAUGAAACCCAGAAGUUAAGAACACCAAGAACACUCAAGAACACUCAAGAUUUUUAAGAAAAAGGAAUCACACUCUCCCACUUUGCGCAACCUGGCUCUGAUACCAUAUACACUUUUGUGUAUUAGAGCAUGAUUCAACUAAUCAGGGAUAAUCAGAUGAAAAGAUUAAAGAGAUUAAGAGAUUUUAGUGAGAGAAUAGAGAGAGAGACUCAAAACUCCAUUAGAUUGAUUAAUGAGAGAGUUUACAACACAUAUAGAUUAGGGAUACAUAAUUUCGUCCAGGUUCAGUCUAGCUAGGAUAAGAAGCAUGUGUAGUCAAAGAUGCUUGAUUCAAACUGGCCAAUAAGGUUCCUCACAUGCUUGGGUAGCUUUCCAGCUGGUGCCAGCCUGUCUAAAGCUCUCUAGCCUUGACCAGACCUUAUCCAAACUCCUCCUUGCUUAUCCAGACUCCUCCUGGCGUGUUUCACUCUCCAAAUGGAUGCAAGGUAACUUCCCAAGUCUUUUAACUCAGUUACCACAGUAACAAUAAAGUUACUGUGGUAAAUCUCCAAAGUUACUGCCUGCUCCAAAUCCCUUCCUCUAUCCAUGUAUCAACUCUUCAUCUCCUCAUCUCAAUAAAAUCCCUUCCUCUAUCCAUGUAUCAACUCUUCAUCUCUUCAUCUCAAUACUCCCCCUCAAGCUUGACCAUGUGGAACAAGUCAAGCUUGGAAACCAUGAAGACCUCCCUCAUUAAAAACCUCACCAAAGAAAACCCAUUGGGAUAAAACUUUGAUGAGGGAAAAAGAGUGGAGACUCCAUGGUUAAGGGGCUCAGCUCCUGGGAGUAAGAUCAAUGAGUCCAAGCCUGGAUAGUAUGGACUCCAUUGUCUUCAAUCUCGCUGCCUUAGUAAACACAUCUGCAAGCUGAUCUUCACUUCUUGUAUAACAUGGCAGAAUCACUCCUAAGAUAAUCAUCUGCCUCACCUUAUGGCAAUCCACCUCUAUGUGCUUUGUUCUCUCAUGAAACACUGAGUUGGAGGCAAUGUGGAUAGCUGCUUGAUUGUCACAAUGCAUUGUCAUAGGUGUGGCCUGCUCGAUCUCCAAGUGCUUCAAAAUACCCUUGAUCCACACCAACUCAUUUGUAAGCUUCAACAUAGCUCUAUACUCAGCUUCAGCACUUGAACAGGAGAUGACCUUCUGUUUCUUACUCUUCCAAGUAACCAGAUUCCCUCCAAUGAAUGUACAAUACCCAGUAGUUGAUCUCCUGUCCACUCUAUCUCCUGCCCAAUCAGCAUCACAAUACCCAACCACUUCUGUACUGCCAUUGCAACCCAUCCAAACUCCUUGUCCAUGUGAGCCACUCAAAUACCUCAGUAUCCUAUCAACCAUCUUCCAGUGAUGUACCUUUGGCGCCUGCAUAUGUUGGCUCACUUGAUUCACAGCAAAGCAUAUAUCAGGUCGAGUGAUAGUCAAGUAGAUCAGCUUACCCACCAUCCUCCUAUACAGCUUAGCAUCCUCAAACAACUGGUUCUCUUCAACCUCCCCCUCACGCAAGACCUUAUACCCUUCCUCAAGAGGUGUCUUAGCUAUCUUCCCUCCAAGCACAUCAGUCUCCUUCAGCAUAUCCAUAGUGUACUUCCUUUGAGACAUAAACAAACCCUCCUUAGAUCUGCAUAUCUCAAUCCCCAAAAAGUACUUCAUCUCUCCCAAGUCUUUAAUAUCAAACACAGACUUGAGAAACUCCUUAGUAGCCUGAAUCCCUGCCUUAUCACUUCCUGUGAUAAUCAAAUCAUCCACAUACACUAGAAUCACAAUGCUCCCUGAAGGUCCUGUCAAGGUGAAGAGAGUGUGAUCUAGUUCAGACUUCCUAAAGCCUCUCCCAUUGAGUGUUGUACUCAGCUUCCUGUACCAAGCUCUAGGUGACUGUUUCAACCCAUAUAUUGCUUUCUUCAAUCUCAAAACAUUCCCUGGCUUUACUAGAUGCUCAAGACCAGGAGGUGGAUGCAUGUAUACUUCAUCUUCAAGUUCACCUUGCAAGAAAGCAUUCUUCACAUCCAUUUGCCACAAAUCCCACUCCAAGUUUGUUGCAAUAGAUAACACAAUUCGAAUUGUGUGAAGCUUGGCCACUGGUGCAAAAGUAUCAAUGUAAUCUUCCCCAUAAGUCUGUGUAAAUCCUCUUGCAACCAGCCUAGUCUUGCGCCUAUCUAUCUCCCCAUUUGCAAGGUACUUGAUGGUGAAGAUCCAUCUGCUUGACACUGCCUUCUUCCCUUUAGGUAACUCACUCUCAUACCAAGUAUCAUUCCUGAUCAUUGCAUCCCUUUCAUCUCCUACUGAAUCUCUCCAAACCUUGUGCUUCAUAGCUUCUUCAUAAGAUCUUGGUAUCUCAUUCUCAUCCAAGUUACACAUAAACACCAUGUGCUCUUCUGGAAACUCAGCAAAGGAACACAUGGCUUGAGAGGGAUGCUCCACAGCCUGGGCAUUGUAGUACACUCUCGUGUUUACCCAGUUGGAAGGAUCCCUCCUUAUCCUUGUGCUCCUCCGCAAGGUCUCAACCUGUUCUUCAGCCUGAACAUUCUCUUGUGCUUCCUCUCUUAAACCAGUAGGUUCUCCCUGCUCAUUUCCACCUGACUGAGCUUCACUCUCUGCUUCCUGUGUCUCCUCCUGAUCAUGCUGACCUGAAUCCUCUUGGUUAUGCUCCUGCUCCCCUGAUUCAGAUCCAUUCCCCCUCUCAUGAUCAAGAGGGGUUGUUUCUCCAGCUUCUCCAGCUUGAUUAGAAGGUCCUGUUCUUCCUGGUUCCUGAUCUUGGGAUAAUCCUAUCCCUAGCCUCUCCAACAACACUCUCAAUGUUGUUGCCUUCUCUGAUGGAGCCCGGGACAGAUCCUCUAGGUCUUCCCAUUUCUUCUCCUCAUAAUACCCUUUAGACUCAACAAACUUCACUUCUCUAGAUACCAUAACCCUCCUAGUUAUUGGAUCAUAGCAUUUGUAGCCUUUCUGAGUGAUUGAGUACCCAAUGAACAUAGCUUUAGUACUCUUUGCUUCUAGCUUGUUCCUUCUUUCUCCGGGAAUCAUCACAUAACAUAAGCACCCAAAGACUCUCAAGUGAUCAAUGUGUGGCUUGGUCUUGUUCAAUACUUCAAAGGGAGACAGUUUCUUCAAGACACGGGUUGGCACUCUAUUGAUGAGAUAGCAAGCAGUCUGAACAGCAUCACUCCAAAACCUCUUAGGGACAUUCAUGUGGAACAUUAUUGAUCUCGCAACCUCCAUCAAAUGUCUGUUCUUCCUCUCAGCCACCCCAUUUUGUUGUGGUGUAUAAGGACAGCUAGUUUGUUGCACAAUCCCAUGCUUUGCAAGAUGACUCUUGAAAGCAUUGCUAGUGUAUUCUCCUCCAUUAUCAGACCUCAAAAUCUUCACAGUGGCAUUGUACUGAUUAGUAACAUAUGCUUGGAAGUUCAUGAAGGCUUCUAGGACUCUGUCUUUGGAGGGAAUCAUGGUGAUCCAUGUGUACUUUGACUUCUCAUCAAUGAAAGUCACAAAGUACCUAUGGCUGUCUCUAGACAUACAGGGAGCUGUCCACACAUCUGAAUGCACCAGAUCAAAGCAAUUCUCAUAUCUGGUUUCUGAUGUUGGGAAGACAGUUCUACAGUGCUUUCCAAGUAUACAAGCUUCACACUCCAAGUGAUUGAACGCCAUACUUGGUAGAAUCAGUUCAAUUGCCUUGGCAUGAGGAUGUCCCAGCCUUGCAUGCCAUGUGAGAUUAUCACACCUAUCCGUUGUGCUGCUUAAACACACAGACUCCACAGGAUUAGGCGCCUCAGUUGUUUGGAGAUGAUAGAGCUGAUGCUUGCUGUCUCCUCUGCCAAUAACCCUUCCAGUUUUCAAAUCCUGGAACUCAACUUCAUUUGGUCUGAAAACCACUUGACAAUCCAGAUCAACUGUAGCCUUCUUAACUGAGAUUAGAUUGGAUGUAAACUGAGGUAGGUAGAAGGCAGUGGAGUUCUUCUCAAACAGCUUGAGGUUUCCCACUCCUUCUAUUGGGAUCCUGGUACCAUUGGCUAUCAUGACACUCCCUGUUGCUGCUUUAACCUCACUGAUUAGUCUCUUGUCACUGAUCAUGUGGUGUGUUGCUCCAGAGUCAAUGAUGAUGGGUUUAGAUGUGGAUACUUUGGCAGGAGCACCCAGACUCCGGGUCGUAGCCAAAGCAUACACAUGCUUAACCAACUCAUCCCAUUCCUUCUUUGUCACACACUCAUCUGCCCUCUUGGUAUCCAUUCCUCUCAUAUCCGCACUGUCUCCUACUGUUUCUCCCAUGUAAGCUGAGUAUGAACACUCUCCUAUAACCAUCUGCUGAAGUACAUGCUUGAUUCUCUUCAAGAUCACACUCAUCUUGUCACUUAAGUGUUCAGACUCACUAUCCUUUCUCCAUGCCCUUCUCUUCAUUAACCACUCCUUAGAAAGUUUUCUCAACCUUCCCUUCUUACAGCUUGUACCUCCCUUCCAUCUUUCUGGCUUCCUGUUCAUCUCCCACACAUCACAAGUAUAUUUAACAAGCUCACAUACCUCUUCCAUAAGGAAGCUGAAGAUCACAUCUUGCUUCCUCCUUUCUUGACAACAUCUCGGAUUUGAUGUGUGUGCCUUCACCACAUCUAACUCUGACCAUACUUCUCUCAGCCUUCCCACAAGCUGAUAACACUCAUCCUUUCCUUGUCUCAAGCCGCGGAUCACCCCUCUGUCCUCAACGACUCUUACAAGCUUGGACUUGCCUAAAGUUGCUUCAAUCUCACUCUUUGUAGUGUUUCCUUGAACAACUUCAUUUCCCAGCUUCAGACCUCUUGUCUGACCUUCUUCAGCAGCCAUUUCCAUGAAAGGUUUCCCCUUUCCAUGACUACUCCAUAACCCACAGCUUUCCAAAGCUCUUUUGGCCCACCUUGACCACUCGCCAUGCCUCUCCUCUUCAGUCUUCACAGUUGACUCAGGUCUGUGCUCCAUUUCCAUGUUGAGAUGAUUUGGAUUCACCAGAACCUCUCACGCCACCAAGAUAAUGAAACCCAGAAGUUAAGAACACCAAGAACACUCAAGAACACUCAAGAUUUUUAAGAAAAAGGAAUCACACUCUCCCACUUUGCGCAACCUGGCUCUGAUACCAUAUACACUUUUGUGUAUUAGAGCAUGAUUCAACUAAUCAGGGAUAAUCAGAUGAAAAGAUUAAAGAGAUUAAGAGAUUUUAGUGAGAGAAUAGAGAGAGAGACUCAAAACUCCAUUAGAUUGAUUAAUGAGAGAGUUUACAACACAUAUAGAUUAGGGAUACAUAAUUUCGUCCAGGUUCAGUCUAGCUAGGAUAAGAAGCAUGUGUAGUCAAAGAUGCUUGAUUCAAACUGGCCAAUAAGGUUCCUCACAUGCUUGGGUAGCUUUCCAGCUGGUGCCAGCCUGUCUAAAGCUCUCUAGCCUUGACCAGACCUUAUCCAAACUCCUCCUUGCUUAUCCAGACUCCUCC
rnacentral:lncRNA from 1 species